AACGAACGCUGGCGGCGUGCCUAACACAUGCAAGUCGGACGCGAAAGGGGGCAACCCCCGGUAGCGUGGCAGACGGGUGAGUAACACGUGGGUAACCUGCCCGGAGGUGGGGAAUAACCCUUCGAAAGGAGGGCUAAUACCGCAUGACAUUCCGAGGCCUUAGGACUUCGGAAUCAAAGCUGGCCUAUGCUUGCAAGCUAGCGCCACCGGAGGGGCCCGCGCCCCAUUAGCUAGUUGGUGAGGUAACGGCCCACCAAGGCGACGAUGGGUAGCGGGCCUGGGAGGGCGACCGGCCACACUGGAACUGAGACACGGUCCAGACUCCUACGGGAGGUAGCAGUGAGGAAUAUUGCGCAAUGGGCGAAAGCCUGACGCAGCGACGCCGCGUGGAGGAUGAAGGUCUUCGGAUUGUAAACUCCUGUCUAGUGGGACGAAUGCCGCGAGGGUGAACAAUCCUCGUGGUUGACGGUACCGCUGGAGGAAGCCCCGGCUAACUCCGUGCCAGCCGCCGCAGUAAAAC
rnacentral:rRNA from 1 species